CUAAUAMAUGCAAGUCGAGCGGACAGAUGGGAGCUUGCUCCCUGAUGUUAGCGGCGGACGCGGCCUAGUAACACGUGGGUAACCUGCCUGUAAGACUGGGAUAACUCCKGGAAACCGGGGCUAAUACCGGAUGGUUGUYUGAACCGCAUGGUUCAGACAUAAAAGGUGGCUUCGGCUACCACUUACMGAUGGACCCGCGGCGCAUUAGCUAGUUGGUGAGGUAACGGSUCAGGRRGGSRACGAUGCGUAGCCGACCUGARAGGGUGAUCGGCCACMCUGGGACUG
rnacentral:rRNA from 1 species